AUUGAACGCUGGCGGAAUGCUUUACACAUGCAAGUCGAGCGGCAGCGCGGGGGCAACUCUGGCGGCGAGCGGCGAACGGGUGAGUAAUGUAUCGGAACGUGCCCAGUCGUGGGGGAUAACUAUCCGAAAGGAUAGCUAAUACCGCAUACGACCUGAGGGUGAAAGCGGGGGACCGUAAGGCCUCGCGCGAUUGGAGCGGCCGAUAUCGGAUUAGCUAGUUGGUGAGGUAAAGGCUCACCAAGGCGACGAUCCGUAGCUGGUCUGAGAGGACGACCAGCCACACUGGAACUGAGACACGGUCCAGACUCCUACGGGAGGCAG
rnacentral:rRNA from 1 species